CAAAAUGUAGUUUAUAAAACCUUUCGCUUACACCGAAAAAAUGUCCCCAUAGAGACCAUUUUGA
rnacentral:tRNA from 1 species